rnacentral:rRNA from 1 species
CCUACGGGUGGCAGCAGUGAGGAAUAUUGGUCAAUGGGCGCAAGCCUGAACCAGCCAAGUAGCGUGCAGGAAGACGGCCCUACGGGUUGUAAACUGCUUUUGUCCGGGAAUAACACGCCUUACGCGUGGCGCUUUGCGUGUACCCGAUGAAUAAGCACCGGCUAAUUCCGUGCCAGCAGCCGCGGUAAUACGGAGGAUGCGGGCGUUAUCCGGAUUUAUUGGGUUUAAAGGGUGCGUAGGCGGAAGAUCAAGUUAGCGGUAAAAUUUCGGGGCUCAACCUGGCCGUGCCGGGGGAACUGGCUUGCUUGAGUGAGCGAAAAGUAGGCGGAAUGCGUGGUGUAGCGGUGAAAUGCUUAGAUAUGACGAAGAACCCCGAUUGCGAAGGCAGCAUGCUGCAGCGGAACUGACGCUGAUGCACGAAAGUGUGGGUAUCGAACAGGAUUAGAUACCCGGGUAGUC